GCUAAAUUCAGAUCAAUUGUUACCUAGAGAGACAUUGCAAAAUUACGUUCUUCACUACAAGAGGCUGCUCGCAAGGAAAGAUCCACAGCCUGCUGCUGACGACCAAGUCCGCUGGUUCUUGAAUGGGUUGCCAUUUGAGAUCGGGUUCCACGUGAAGGUGCAGAGACUGGCAGAUUUGAGCGCAGCAAUGGAGCAUGCAGCAACAUGGGAACAGGCCCGGAUGUCGUCGCGGAAUGUUGCAGCUGCAGCUCCAGCAGCAACAUAUGGUAACUUGUUCUCACCGAAUAUUGCACAGUACCAGACUGGUGUGCUUGGAGCUGUAGCAGCUCCACCUUUGAUUCCGGUCCAGCUGUCAGUUCUCCAGUUACCUGCAGUAAGCACAACCGGAUUUGAGAGCCAACUCACGAAAGUGAAAGAAGAUGUGGUGGAUACACUUACCAAGAAGAUGGCAGAACUCCUAGUGAGUUUGGUUCAAGGUUUGGGAGCUCCAACUCGGCCGGUGCAUGAGAGCUGAGAUCUGGUGUAUUAAGUGUCAAGGAUAUGGCCACUAUCCUAGUGAGUGUCCAAAUCUAGUUCCGGCAAAAGCUCCUUGUCCGUAUUGUGGGAAGUUCGGCCACAAGCCUGAGAAGUGCUUUUUUCAUCCAGCUCAUGUGAUGCCCAAGUUCCAACAGCAACCUGUAGUCGCAAGCUAUUAUGUUCAACCACAAUUUCCACAGCACGUUCAACAACAAUUUCUACAGCAAUAUGACACGUACCCAGUUUUUAAAGUAGGAGCUCCAGGGGCCGUGCAGAACUCUUGGCCGAUGCUGCAGCAGACUGCCGGUGGUGGCCGAGGUGGCGGCCGGAUGGGAAUGUUUGGAGGCAGAGGCGGAGGCUGAGGCCGAGGUCCGAUAGUGUGCUACUGGUGUGGGGAACCUGGACAUAUCGCGCCAAACUGUCCGAAUGCACAGAAGUCCGAAGAGUAUCAGCCAAUCUGUGGGAUAUGCCAGACACAAGGGCUUCAUCGGCAGGAGGAUUGCCCCUACCACUUGCAAGUGCCGAAUCAGCGUCAGAAUCAGGACAAGGGAAAAGAGGUGGUGGACACUAAAGCCAUUUUCGUGAAUUCUGAAGCGUUGAGAGCGGACACACCUGUGUGGAAUGUCAACACACGAGCACAGUUGCAGCAAAGGGACCACGGGUUGUACAUCCGAGAUGAGCCAAGAACAAGGGCUGAGCAGG
rnacentral:lncRNA from 1 species